GUUAACGACAGUGUUUCACUCCACAGCACCCUCUGUGUUUAAUCCACAGCAGAGUAUCCACUCCCUCUCCUCAUCUCUCACUAAUUCGCCUACAUCACUGCUCCGAGUCUCCGACCAUUGCUGAGACUUCUCCGAUUCCACCGACCUUAACCAGCAAACCCUCUUAGCUUCUCCUUCCGUUCUCCGCUUACCAGAUAUAGGGAUUGGCAUUGUAACAAAAUCAACUUCUUUAUCGUCUAUUGUCUGCCUUUAUGCAAAUGUUCAAGUCUGAAGAUGUUCUAACAGAUGCCUUCUUAGUAAGAUGGGAGUGACGAAGACACAGUAGAAAAAUUGGUGGAGAUGAGACUGAAAUGAACUUGGAAACCAAGAAAUGGUGGUUGGUAUUUAUUGAAAAACUAUAAGGUUUUUUGGCUCAAUUUUUAACGAAAUAAAAAAAUAUACAUUUCUUUCACCCAAUUGGCACUUUAAAUUAGUAUAGAUAUAGAUAUAGAUAUAAUAUAGAUAUAGAUUGUCCAUACUCCAUCACAUCAUCUCAUUGCGAUGGAGUUGUCCUCGGUGUUGGGACACGGCUUUCAACCUGUAUUUCGUUUCAAUUCAACCAUCAAUAAUUCCAGCCAGAUUGCAGCCACUACGCCGGUGCGUAUUGCCAAUCCAAUUUGUUCUAAUGAUGCUUCAGUACAUCCUCAAGUUCGGACCAAAUCACUCAGAAAAGUAUCCAAGGAAACAACAGAAUCUGCAAUUCGCGAUAUUCAAGAUUCUUCUGAUUUGGAGUCUGCUCUCUUAAGGUCAGGAGAGGCGUUGAGAGUGCAACAUCUGAAUAUCAUAUUGCGUUAUUUUGGGAAGUUUAACAGACGGAAGGAUGUCUGCCAGGUUCUAAUUAAUUGCAGAUGUGCUGUUAUUUCUUUCUUUUAUCCUUGUAGCACAUCUUGUUCACAGUAUUUUGAUGCACAUGCUUGUCAAUUGUUUCUCUUA